rnacentral:rRNA from 1 species
GACGAACGCUGGCGGCGUGCUUAACACAUGCAAGUCGAACGGUGAACCAGAGCUUGCUCUGGGGAUCAGUGGCGAACGGGUGAGUAACACGUGGGCAACCUGCCCAGACUCUGGGAUAACCUCGGGAAACCGAUGCUAAUACCGGAUACGACCACUUCGGACAUCCGACGGUGGUGGAAAGUUUUCGGUCUGGGAUGGGCCCGCGGCCUAUCAGCUAGUUGGUGGGGUAAUGGCCUACCAAGGCGACGACGGUAGCCGGCCUGAGAGGCGACCGGCCACACUGGAACUGAGACACGGUCCAGACUCCUACGGGAGGCAGCAGUGGGAAGUAUUGCACAAUGGGCGAAAGCCUGAUGCAGCGACGCCGCGUGAGGGACGACGG